rnacentral:rRNA from 1 species
UAGAGUUUGAUCCUGGCUCAGAACGAACGCUGGCGGCAGGCUUAACACAUGCAAGUCGAGCGCCCCGCAAGGGGAGCGGCAGACGGGUGAGUAACGCGUGGGAAUCUACCCAAUACUACGGAAUAACUCCGGGAAACUGGAACUAAUACCGUAUGUGCCCUACGGGGGAAAGAAUUAAAGUU